rnacentral:rRNA from 1 species
AUGGGUCGCCGAGACGCCGAGGCCGAGGUGGAGCUCCAGACCAUCGAGGCCAUGUACGCCGCUGAGUCCACCAGGCACCGCCACCUCCCCGACUGGUCCAAGACACCAGCCCCCGCCCCCGUUCGCCCACGGCCCAACCCAGUCCCCGCGGCUGCGUGUGCCUCCUCGCCGUCGUGGGUCCUCUCGCCCCCCACUUGCCAAGGUGCGGCUCCCCCUCUUUUGCCUCUCAUGUUCUACUCCAAAAUGCUUCUUUUGUCUAUCUUGAAGCUUCAGUUAUGCUGCCAAAUUUAG